UACGUAGGGUGCGAGCGUUGUCCGGAAUUAUUGGGCGUAAAGGGCUCGUAGGCGGUUUGUCGCGUCGGGAGUGAAAACACCGGGCUUAACUCGGUGCUUGCUUUCGAUACGGGCAGACUAGAGGUAUGCAGGGGAGAACGGAAUUCCUGGUGUAGCGGUGAAAUGCGCAGAUAUCAGGAGGAACACCGGUGGCGAAGGCGGUUUCUCUGGGGCAUUACCUGACGCUGAGGAGCGAAAGUGU
rnacentral:rRNA from 1 species